UACGGGGGGGGCAAGCGUUGUUCGGAAUUAUUGGGCGUAAAGGGCGCGUAGGCGGCGCCACAAGUCACUUGUGAAAACUCUGGGCUCAACUCAGAGCCUGCAAGCGAAACUGUGGUGCUGGAGUAUGGGAGAGGUGCGUGGAAUUCCCGGUGUAGCGGUGAAAUGCGUAGAUAUCGGGAGGAACCCCUGUGGCGAAAGCGGCGCCCUGGACCAUAACUGACGCUGAGGCGCGAAAGCUAGGGGAUCAAACUGG
rnacentral:rRNA from 1 species